AUUUAACAAGUAAAAAGGAAAGUAGCAAUUUAUAUCGACCUUAUAACAUUUCGUUGUUUCUUUUUUCUUCCUUUCUUUCUUUUUUAUUUCUUCUUUCUCUCUCUCUCU
rnacentral:ribozyme from 1 species